AGGGCACCACCAGGAGUGGAGCCUGCGGCUUAAUUUGACUCAACACGGGAAAUCUCACCAGGCCCGGACACUGGAAGGAUUGACAGAUUGAGAGCCCUUUCUCGAUUCGGUGGGUGGUGGUGCAUGGCCGUUCUUAGUUGGUGGAGUGAUUUGUCUGGUUAAUUCCGAUAACGAGCGAGACUCUGUCCUGCUAAAUAGUUCCCGCGUCCUUUGUUGCGCGGGAAAUUCUUCUUAGAGGGACUGGCGGCGUCUAGCCGCACGAGAUUGAGCAAUAACAGGUCUGUGAUGCCCUUAGACGUUCUGGGCCGCACGCGCGCUACACUGAAGGGAUCAGCGUGUCUUCCCUUCCCGAGAGGGACGGGUAACCCGCUGAACCCCCUUCGUGGUAGGGAUCGGGGCUUGCAAUUAUUCCCCGUGAACCAGGAAUUCCCAGUAAGCGCAAGUCAUAAGCUUGCGUUGAUUACGUCCCUGCCCUUUGUACACACCGCCCGUCGCUACUACCGAUUGAACGUUUUAGUG
rnacentral:rRNA from 1 species